rnacentral:rRNA from 1 species
GAAACGGUUGCUAAGACUGGAUAGGAAAUUAAAAGGCAUCUUUUAAUUUUUAAAAGACCUUUUUCGGAAGGUAUGCUUAAAGAGGGGCUUGCGCCACAUUAGUUAGUUGGUAAGGUAAAGGCUUACCAAGACGAUGAUGUGUAGCUGGACUGAGAGGUUGAACAGCCACAUUGGGACUGAGACACGGCCCAAACUCCUACGGGAGGCAGCAGUAAGGAAUUUUUGGCAAUGGAGGAAACUCUGACCGAGCGACGCCGCGUGAACAAUGAAGUACUUCGGUAUGUAAAGUUCUUUUAUUGAAAAAGAAAAAAUAGUGGAAAAACUAUCUUGACAUUAUUCAAUGAAUAAGCCCCGGCUAAUUAUGUGCCAGCAGCCGCGGUAAUACAUAAGGGGCGAGCGUUAUCCGGAAUUAUUGGGCGUAAAGGGUGCGUAGGCGGUUUGAUAAGUCUAUAGUUUAAUUGCAGUGCUUAACGCUGUACCGCUAUAGAAACUGUCUGACUAGAGUUAGAUAGAGGCAAGCGGAAUUCCAUGUGUAGCGGUAAAAUGCGUAAAUAUAUGGAGGAACACCAGAGGCGUAGGCGGCUUGCUGGGUCUUAACUGACGCUGAGGCACGAAAGCGUGGGGAGCAAACAGGAUUAGAUACCCUGGUAGUCCACGCCGUAAACGAUGAGUACUAAGUGUCGGGUUUUGGCUCGGUACUGAAGUUAACACAUUAAGUACUCCGCCUGAGUAGUACGUACGCAAGUAUGAAACUUAAAGGAAUUGACGGGACCCCGCACAAGCGGUGGAUCAUGUUGUUUAAUUCGAAGAUACACGAAAAACCUUACCAGGUCUUGACAUAAUUUUGCGACAUUAUAGAAAUAUAAUGAAGGUUAUCAGAAUUACAGGUGGUGCAUGGUUGUCGUCAGCUCGUGUCGUGAGAUGUUAGGUUAAGUCCUAAAACGAGCGCAACCCUUGUCGUUAGUUGCGACCACAUAAUGGUGAGCACUUUAGCGAGACUGCCAAUGAAAAAUUGGAGGAAGGUGAGGAUUACGUCAAAUCAUCAUGCCCCUUAUGAUCUGGGCUACAAACGUGAUACAAUGGCUUUUACAAAGAGUAGCUACAACGUGAGUUUUUAGCCAAUCUCAAAAAAACAGUCUCAGUUCGGAUUGAAGUCUGCAACUCGACUUCAUGAAGUUGGAAU